GUGAGGAGCGGCGGACGGGUUAGUAACGCGUGGGAAUAUACCCUUCACUAUGGAAUAGCCUCGGGAAACUGAGAGUAAUGCCAUAUACGCCCUUCGGGGGAAAGAUUUAUCGGUGAAGGAUUAGCCCGCGUAAGAUUAGAUAGUUGGUGGGGUAAUGGCCUACCAAGUCUACGAUCUUUAGCUGGUUUGAGAGGAUGAUCAGCAACACUGGGACUGAGGCACGGCCCAGACUCCUACGGGAGGCAGCAGUGGGGAAUCUUAGACAAUGGGCGCAAGCCUGAUCUAGCCAUGCCGCGUGAGUGACGAAGGUCUUAGGAUCGUAAAGCUCUUUCGCCAGAGAUGAUAAUGACAGUAUCUGGUAAAGAAACCCCGGCUAACUCCGUGCCAGCAGCCGCGGUAAUACGGAGGGGGUUAGCGUUGUUCGGAAUUACUGGGCGUAAAGCGUACGUAGGCGGAUUGGAAAGUAGGGGGUGAAAUCCCAGGGCUCAACCCUGGAACUGCCUCCUAAACUAUCAGUCUAGAGUUCGAGAGAGGUGAGUGGAAUUCCAAGUGUAGAGGUGAAAUUCGUAGAUAUUUGGAGGAACACCAGUGGCGAAGGCGGCUCACUGGCUCGAUACUGACGCUGAGGUACGAAAGUGUGGGGAGCAAACAGGAUUAGAUACCCUGGUAGUCCACACCGUAAACGAUGAAUGCCAGUCGG
rnacentral:rRNA from 1 species